rnacentral:rRNA from 1 species
GACGAACGCUGGCGGCGCGCCUAACACAUGCAAGUCGAACGGAGCUGCGAGAAGCUUGCUUUUCUUAGGUGAGUGGAGAACGGGUGAGUAACGCGAGAGUAACCUGCCCUGGUGUGGGGGAAAACAGUGGGAAACGACUGAUAAUACCGCAUAAGCCCACGAUCCGGCAUCGGGUUGGGGGAAAAGGAGUGAUUCGCUUCAGGAUGGAGUCGCGUCAGAUUAGCGAGUGGGUGAGGUAACGGCCCGCCAAGGCCACGAAUCGUAGCCGGGCUGGUGAGUGGACCCGCCGCGUCGGGGCUGCGACACGGCCCACUCCCCUACGGGGGACAGCGGUAGAGGAUAUUACACGAUGGGGGAUACCCUGAUGCAGCGGCGCCGCGUGGAGGAAGAAGCUUUUCGGAUUGUAAACUCCUGUCGUUAGGGACGAUAAUGACGGUACCUAACAAGGAAGCACCGGCUAACUACGUG